rnacentral:rRNA from 1 species
GGAGGGUGCAAGCGUUAAUCGGAAUUACUGGGCGUAAAGCGCACGCAGGCGGUCUGUCAAGUCGGAUGUGAAAUCCCCGGGCUUAACCUGGGAACUGCAUUCGAAACUGGCAGGCUAGAGUCUUGUAGAGGGGGGUAGAAUUCCAGGUGUAGCGGUGAAAUGCGUAGAGAUCUGGAGGAAUACCGGUGGCGAAGGCGGCCCCCUGGACAAAGACUGACGCUCAGGUGCGAAAGCGUGGGGAGCAAACAGGAUUAGAUACCCUGGUAGUCCACGCCGUAAACGAUGUCGACUUGGAGGUUGUUCCCUUGAGGAGUGGCUUCCGGAGCUAACGCGUUAAGUCGACCGCCUGGGGAGUACGGCCGCAAGGUUAAAACUCAAAUGAAUUGACGGGGGCCCGCACAAGCGGUGGAGCAUGUGGUUUAAUUCGAUGCAACGCGAAGAACCUUACCUACUCUUGACAUCCAGAGAACUUAGCAGAGAUGCUUUGGUGCCUUCGGGAACUCUGAGACAGGUGC